rnacentral:lncRNA from 1 species
AAUAGUACAUCUGAAAGUAACUUUUGCCAAUUAUGUAAGAGGCCCUUUUCCUGAGAAACAUUUCAUCAUAUCGCCUAAUUCCUGAUACAAGUUUGGUUGCGAUAGCCCAUUGAGUUCGAAUCGUUGGAGAAUCUCCUUCCAUAUCCAUUUAGUAUAGGUUUCUUCUUGUUGCAUACAAAGGGAGUAUCGAUUAACAUGAUAG